rnacentral:rRNA from 1 species
AUUGAACGCUGGCGGCAUGCCUUACACAUGCAAGUCGAACGGCAGCACGGGUGCUUGCCCCUGGUGGCGAGUGGCGAACGGGUGAGUAAUACAUCGGAACAUGUCCUAUAGUGGGGGAUAGCCCGGCGAAAGCCGGAUUAAUACCGCAUACGAUCUACGGAUGAAAGCGGGGGACCUUCGGGCCUCGCGCUAUAGGGUUGGCCGAUGGCUGAUUAGCUAGUUGGUGGGGUAAAGGCCUACCAAGGCGACGAUCAGUAGAUGGUCUGAGAGGACGACCAGCCACACUGGGACUGAGACACGGCCCAGACUCCUACGGGAGGCAGCAGUGGGGAAUUUUGGACAAUGGGCGAAAGCCUGAUCCAGCAAUGCCGCGUGUGUGAAGAAGGCCUUCGGGUUGUAAAGCACUUUUGUCCGGAAAGAAAUCCUUGGCUCUAAUACAGUCGGGGGAUGACGGUACCGGAAGAAUAAGCACCGGCUAACUACGUG